AAAUCUCUGCAGGCAAAUGUGAUGUCACUAAAGAAAUCACACACUUACCCGUAGAGAUUCUG
ensembl:miRNA microRNA 216b